rnacentral:rRNA from 1 species
UACAGAGGUCUCAAGCGUUGUUCGGAUUCAUUGGGCGUAAAGGGUGCGUAGGCGGCGCGGUAAGUCGGGUGUGAAAUCUUGGAGCUUAACUCCGAAACUGCAUUCGAUACUGCCGUGCUUGAGGACUGGAGAGGAGACUGGAAUUUACGGUGUAGCGGUGAAAUGCGUAGAUAUCGUAAGGAAGACCAGUGGCGAAGGCGGCAUCCUGGACCAACACUGACGCUGAGGAGCGAAAGCCAGGGGAGCAAACGGG